rnacentral:rRNA from 1 species
UACGUAGGUGGCAAGCGUUGUCCGGAAUUAUUGGGCGUAAAGCGCGCGCAGGUGGUUCCUUAAGUCUGAUGUGAAAGCCCACGGCUCAACCGUGGAGGGUCAUUGGAAACUGGGGAACUUGAGUGCAGAAGAGGAAAGUGGAAUUCCAAGUGUAGCGGUGAAAUGCGUAGAGAUUUGGAGGAACACCAGUGGCGAAGGCGACUUUCUGGUCUGUAACUGACACUGAGGCGCGAAAGCGUGGGGAGCAAACAGGG